rnacentral:tRNA from 1 species
GNUCUUGUAGUUAAAAUUUAAUAACGAUGGCUUUUCAUGCCGUAGAUCUUGGGUAAGAGCCAAGCAGGAAUU